rnacentral:misc_RNA from 1 species
GAUGAAGAACGUAGCGAAAUGCGAUACUUGGUGUGAAUUGCAGAAUCCCGUGAACCAUCGAGUCUUUGAACGCAAGUUGCGCCCGAAGCCGUCAGGCCGAGGGCACGCCUGCCUGGGCGUCACACGCCGUUGCCCCCCCGCGCCCCGCACCCAACUCUUUGGGAGCGACCGCGGGGCGGGCUGAUGAUGGCCUCCCGUGCGCUCCGCCGCGCGGUUGGCCCAAAUACCGAGUCCCCGGCGACGUGCGCCACGACGAUCGGUGGUUGAGAGACCUCUGUCGCAAGUCGUGCGCGCCCGUCGCGUCACGCGGGCUCGCAUAGCGCCUCGCGCCGCACCCGGUGCGGAGCUUUCAACGCGACCCCAGGUCAGGCGGGGUUACCCGCUGAAUUUAAGCAUAUCAAUAACGGAGGA